rnacentral:piRNA from 1 species
UAUGGAACAGCUUUCCUGGUGUCACGACU